rnacentral:siRNA from 1 species
ACCCAACACCUACGGAGUGUGGUU